AAGGGCGGCUGUUCAGCUGUCUCGACGCGAGGGACAUCCAACAAACUCUCACCAUUUACUGCUGGCUUUCCACCUCCGCUCCGACGGCACGGCCUUCCUAUGUCAUGCCCGGAGGAGGGAAAAAAGCCGUGUUUCCAACGCUGGCUCUGCACGACCACGAGAAGGUGCGGGCGACGGCGAAUGAGCAGGACAGACAGAAGAAAUUCCACCAGUCGAGAGGUUCGUUAAGAAAAUCAGAGAGCAAGGACAGUCCAGAGAAAGAGAAAUCUGAUCCCCCGAAAGCUAAACCAGUUAAAACACCACCCAAAGGAGAGCCUGGAUCAAAGUGCACUACAAAGGAACUGCAGCAGUAACAAUCGAUCAUGGGAAUAGAACCAAAAACACCAUCACAACAGCUAUCCAGAGAGUGAACACUUUCGCCAAUUGUCAAAUACCGAAGACUACAACUAUAAAUAUGCAUUAGAGAGUACAGAACAUUUUUCAAGAAUAUAACAUCAAAUGAAUCAAUUAUUAAUUUUUUGAUAGCUGAUCUUCAAAACAAGGAUUAGAUUAACAACAAAUUGGUCUGGAAGAUUUCAAACAUUUGUGGUGGCUGGACAAAAAUAUUAUUGCAAAAUUUAAUGGUUUGAUAUUUUGUAGAAACUUAGAAUCAUGGUAACAUAGGCAACAAAUUGUUGCAAUGCGCAUUAUGUCCUCAGAUCAUACAUAAGGGAAAAUUUAAUUGGUUGCUCACUGCAUAGACAAGGUCCCUUAACAUUUCAUGUCAAAAAUAAAUUGACACAAUUAUAUCUUGGAAUGUCAAAAUAUAUAAGUGAACUAAAUUAUGGAAGAUCAUGCUCAGAGUACAGAUACUCAAUUCAGUAGCAAGACAUGAUACAUUUAAAAAGCACUGAGAUAAAUAUAAUACAACAGGAAUAUGUAUAUAUAGCCUCUCACACUGCUGUUGAUAUAUAAUUUUCUCUAAUAGUCUCUUUGAAAUAUCUACAUUAAAAUUACAUUACUGAUAACUACAUACUAAAGAAAGCUGCCAGUGAGAUUCUAAUCAAGUCUGUACCACAGCUUCUUCACUGACAUGACUGUUUCAUUCACAUGUUCCCUCAGUUUGAGGCUUCCAUAAAUAUUGUACCAAAAUUAUUGAAUGAAGAUGUAAAAAAUGUUAGCUCAAGUUUUAAAGGCUUGUUUAAACCCAAACAUGAUAUAAUUAUUUUAUCAAGGAGACCCAUACAAUCCAUCUAUCACAACUACUAUCAAAUGCUUCAGGAAAAUAUCAGAUCAAUAAUAUUCAUAUAAAAACAUAGUAAUUUAUUAGUAAUUAUACUGAUGUCUUAGUGAUUAACCUAUUUAAAGUCAAAUAUAAGUGUUAUACAAGAAAGGGAACUGAUUAUUAUCAUGAAAGGAAAUAUUUAAAAUAUACAACCUGAUGAAAAGUCCAUCCAGCAUUCAGAAUAGAUUCCUAAUUCUGAAUGCUGUCUUAUAAGCUGCAACUUCCAAUGGUGCCAACCACCAAAAAUCAAAAUUCCCCUUUAUUUUUCCCACAUUGGGGCUGUAAAAUAUGAAUGUUUUUUCUACAACAUGGCAGUGAAAGCAAUCCACAUCAUAGUUCAAUUUGUUCAGAAAAGUUGAAAAAUCAAAUUGAAAACAAUUGACCUAAUAAUAAUAAUAGUAGUAGUAACAUAUUCCCUUAUUAAAUUGCCAUGGCUUUCUUUGAUAAAUGUAUCAGCUGUCCCUAUUGUUGCCUGGAUUUCUUAUUAAAUAUUUACACUGCAAAACAAUAUAAGUUUUUUCCAUGUUUUCACUGUGAUGUGAAAUAAGUGCUGAUACAGACUAAUGUUGCUGGCACAACAGUAUUGCUCUAUAAAAUGCUGGACAAACCACAGAACUUAAUCCUUACAAAACAGCGUCAUAUGCUUGUUGUAUGGGAUUAAAAAGUAACCCAACUUCUAAGUGUUCAGAGAAGCCAACUUUACUUAAGAAAUAACUGCCUUCUUUCAGCAAUUGAUUAGACUUCUUGUACAAGCAAGCAAAUAAGAAACCCUUCUAUUAUGUCAAUGCAAAUAAUAAAAAAUUAAAAAUAAUACUGAAUGUGUAUAGAAGUGUGUGAGCACAUGCACAUACACACAACAAUCCUUAACAUGUACUUUGCCCACAUUCUUUCUCAUAUUAAUCUCCAUGUUUUAAUUGUCUGGUCAUCCUACUAUCACUGAAAAUUAUGCAAGUUUAGAGUAAAGGAUAGUAUUUUUUAAACACACAUCAUGUGAAUUUAUUAGUGACUGAGAUAUAAAAUGAAACAUAACUUCAACACAUGAACAUAAAAAAGUGAAUGACAAUUUUAACUUCAUAUGAUGUAUCACAGAAACCAGUUUUUUGUGGUUGUUUUUGUUUAGUAUUUAAAAUAUAAAAGUAAGAACUGUGGCACGAGAAAGGCGAGUCUAACUUUGAAGCUGUAUUCCUUUCACACAAAUGAAGUCAGAUUCAUUAAAUGUAAAAUACUUUUUAUUUAAUUGUCUAAUUUAUUGAAAGAUGGUCAGGCUUCCUUACAGGGGGAGGAGAAAAAAGAAAGAAAAAAGUGUCACUUUCUGAUUGUAAAUACAUCUGCAGCACAUUAUAUAUAUUACUGUUUGUGAUAAGAAGAAUUCAUCUAGUGCUUUAUCAAUGAAUUAUCUCUGUAACAAAAUUAAUAUUUCCAUUAAUUAGUAUUACAGAUUUUGUGCAUUUGGACCCCAUUACAUGACACUGCAAGAGUUCAAAAUUCAAACCACUAAAAGAAAGCUCAGUAUCUUGUACACAUAGGAAAAUGUUCAGAAAUGUUUUUUUGUAGACAGUUGUAUUCAAUCUACUGAAAUAAAAUUCAGGUUAAAGAACUAGCUAGAGAGUUUUCAUACAAGGGAAGAUAUUAAGAUUCCUAAUAAUAAGCUCAUUCAGUUAAUUUCUGUACAAGAAAUAAAUUACAGUAAUGUGGGAAAGAUUUUUUCCAACAGUAGUCAUUCACAAUACAAAGCAGGCGUUAUGGGCAUAUGCUACAAAGUAUAUGAAGGCCAUAUAAUUCAGUUUUAUGGGAAUUAUAAUGUAGCAUAAUAAGGAGACAUGAGAUCAAAGAGCAAACAGAUUAAAAACAGAUAGGAGAGACUAAUACCUCAGAAGAAAUUUAAAGGUGGAGAGAAUAUGAUCUUUGCUUAACUACCAUGCAAAUGAGACCUUUGUCACCAACGUAAAUAUGCAAUCAUCUCAUCUUGGAACAGGCAUGACUGUGGAAGGAAGAAAAUACACAUUCUAAAGUUAAAAGAUAGCCUGCAGUUCCAACAGAAACAAAACAAACGAAGCAGCAGUUGGGUACCCUGUAAAGGUGGAAAAUUAUAAUAGUAGUGUGACAGAGAACUUCUGUCCUUAAAUCACUUUCUUUUCACAGAUCUAUUUUCGCAAAAUUCUGAAUACAGAUAUUAAAAGCAUUUUACACUAUGCUCAGAAAUAUUCAAUCAGUCUUCUCAAACAUGUCGCCUUGUGAUCAUUCAUAAGAAGACAUAGUCAAGAGAAAAUAAAUAUGUACACAGAAUAGUUCACUGAAAAUGUCUUCUAAUCGAAGCUGUGGCUAGGUAUAUAUUGGCCAGCAUGUAGUCAUGCAGAAGAAUAUACUCUCUAGUUCAGAUACUGAAUUACAAUCUACCUGCAUUUUAAAAUUCUGGCUGCAAAAAUAUCAUACUUAUGAUGAUUUUAAAGCAGCUAUUUAAACACGGGUACUACAGCUUUCAAGUACAUUUCUUAGUAACAUAUGCAUUCUAAGACCAGUGAUUUCUUUAAUAACAUCUGAUUUUACACUAUUUUUUUUAUCUGUGUUAGAAUGAAUAUCCUUCUUGCAUGGCCAAUGCAGCAGCAUCAGCUAUUUACCACACCAUGCCACUGAUAAAAGGAUGAACUGCUCUGUAUAUUACAUAUAUUCAGAUGAAUGAAUGUUAAUGUCAGAUGUUCAAUUUGUUUGUUAAUACUUAUGUAUGAGAUAUAGUUAAAUUCUUAUAUAAUUUGGUUGUAUCAUUGAAAUGGAUGCAGUUUACAAACUGAACUUCUUGGAGUUAUCUCUCUAAUAGCCACAUACAUAAACACAAAUCUAUCUCUAUUCAAUUCAGUUGUUGUAACAACAGAAAACUAAACACUUCAAACAUAAUCUUACACUGUGAAUAUUCAGUUUACAUCAAUGAGAUAUGACUGAAAGUUUGAAGAUUUCUGUCUUCUGGGUUGUUGCGCUGUGUAGUCUGGUCGAUGUUAACCAAUGUUUCAGAGGUCAUACUGCCUCCGUCAUCAUCACCCUGAUUGGUUAACAUCGACCAGACUACACAGCGCAACAACCCAGAAGACAGAAAUCUUCAUACUCACUGUUGUGAAAACCUCAAAUCUUACAGACUGAAAAUUUGUCACACUGAGUCAACAAAAGUAACAAAACGUCAGAGAUCCAUUAUUCAUACCUGCAGCAGAUGACAGAGUUAAGCCGCUAUACUGAAAUUGUACCAUCACAAAGCAGCAAAACUAGGACAACAACAAAUAUCAAUAGUAAAAGCACAGGCAACGAAAGUUAUAGUUGUGCUAAUUACAUGUUCUUUUAUAGAUGUUUAUUAUAUGCAAUGCAAGGAAAAAAGUAGACAUAGAAAAGUUUUGGUGGAAAGUUUAACUCAAAAAGAUGCUUUACAUGUUGUACAACUCAACACUCCUAGAAUAAAAGUGAACUGUAGUUAGUGAAGAUAAGACAUUCUAAGAAUUCAAAUCUUUAAGUGUAGAAAGGAACAGUAUAUCACUGUCAGUAACAAUACAUCAGGAAGGUGUGCCAUGAGCAGUCAAAAUUGUAAUGUUGUGUCACACUAGCAUUUGGAUUAGAUCCACAUCACUUGUUAAGCUGCACCCAGUGAAUCUGAAGCUCAAUUCGUCCAUGGGACAAUACACACACACACACAUAUACAUACAAAUUAGGUAUCUGGAAACAUGGUAUUUGGUAGUGUUCUGACCUGGACAAUAGCCUAUGAACAGUUAUCUAUGGAGUCAUGGGAGAUGAAUGUUUCCUGUGUAAUAUUGACCAAAUGUUACUAUAUCAGUAACUGACUUUUCUGUUUUCUGGAUAUUGAAUCACUACAAUAUCUCCAAGUGAAGUAGGGAUGGUAAAUAUGUAUGCUGGUGUUAUCUUUCAAUAAAGUCAAAUCUAAAUUUGCCUUUCACAGAGUACCCUCCACCACCUUCCAGAUACCUACAUAUAUGGUCAUUUGUUUGAGUGCCUGCAUGUGUGUGGAGAGUCAUCUCAUAGAUUAAGGGGUAACAAAUCAAUACUGCAUAACCAACUUACAUACACAAAAAUGUCUUAAUGUUAUAAUCAUUUAUAAGCAGAUCUAAGUUGCAGUUUUCUGAAAGUAAUGAUAGGAGUAUAACACAUUGAUCUUUUUGGAUACUUUUAUUUCUAAAAUAUUAUUACACAUGCUAUAGCUGCUAAAAAUUUGAGAUGACUUGAGUUCAGUUUCUCAGUUUUACCAACAUUUGCAAAAGGUUUCGCACACCCACACACAGUCUCAAUGUAUAGGAAGCAUUUUGCCACCAGUUCAGUCACAUUUAAUGGUCAGGUUAUCCAGAAUGAAGACAUGCUAGUGGAUACUUAACGAACUUCUGAUUUGUUGCCAGAUGACAUAAGCUGAUUAGCUAAACAUAUAGCUCUGUCUUGUCUUAUACUUUCCCCUCAUUGCCCCAUGUACUGAUAAAAAUACCCUCAAAGAAAAGUACACUCCCUCCUUAGACAGUAUACAUUCAUUACAUUAUUAUUAAUGUGGACUGAAUUUUAUCAGCUGAUCCAUGUGAUGUAUAAGAAAUCAACGCAUUGGAGAUGUAGUAGUCAGACAAUGUUCACUGUGUGUAGUUUCUAAAAGAAAUGAACACUGAGGAUCCAAGAAGUAUUUCACUGAAAAUAUGACAUUACAUAUAUGUUGAUCUGUAAGUUUCCUUUCAAAUAAAAUUCAUAAUAGAAAAUAAAAUUUCAUGAAAACGUCUCCUAAUAUGCUUGUGACACAUCUUCCUCAAUUUUAGUGUUUAAAACACACACACAAUAAAAUGUAAUUCCCACACAGGUAUGUGAAUAUACCAAUUAACUUCAUAUACUUUAUCAUUAAUUUCUUUCUCAAAAUAUUUAUGUUCAGAUUUGAAAUUUUAGAAGUGUCUUAUGUAUAUAUGACAACAUCCACUUGGCUUCUUCUUCUCCAUUGAAAUUAUCAGUCUGCACCUCAGAAAAGUCUCUCAGCAACCUCAAUUGCCCAAAAAUUGUCAAUUGAUAUAACUGUAAUGGGAAUACUGUGUACUGGGUGAACCUAAGCAUUGUUUUCAAAGUAAUGUAUGUUAAAUAACUGAUGUUAAACAUACUAUUAUUCUGGAGGAAAGUGCUUUUUUAUAUGUGCAAUUAUACAGGGGCCUUUGGAUGCAAAGCUAGGUCCAUGUACAACUAAACGUGUUCACAAUAAAAUUAAAAUGAUAAAUGUGUACUGGAUCAAUUCAUAUAGUAGGUAAUGCUUUAUAGUCUCUAAUUAUGUGAAUGAUUGUAUAUAAUUUUAUGAAGACGUUUUCUAAAAUAAAGGCUUCCGUGAUACAUUUAGACACCA